ACACACCUUGUGUACUUCUAUACUUACUGUGUUCAUAAUACACACCGUGUACUACUCUCCAUGUGCUUACCAUGUACAUAAUACACAGAUUGCGUAGUAGUGUACUUACUGUGUAUACUGUAGGUGGUUCUCAGAGGCUGAGAAGUGAUCCAAAAGUUUAAAGCCUUUGCUUUGUCACGAGGAUUUCCCCGAGAGGCCAUUCUCACGCCACCUCCAGCAGGGAACUGCCCUCCGUCACCAUCUGGCCGUUAGGUCCCUCCCCUUUUAUAUUCCACCAUUGAUUUGCACGCCAAUAAGAGCUGGUCAAUAUGUGUCAAUAUGUCACUUCUCUGCCUGAUAAACUAUAAUCAAUAUGUCACUUCUCUGCCUAAUAAACUAUCAUCAAUAUGUCACUUCUCUGCCUAAUAAACUAUCAUCAAUA